CGCCUGUUUAUCAAAAACAUGGUUUUUUGUUUAUAUAAAAAAUCUGGCCUGCCCAAUGAUUUUUUAAUGGCUGCAGUAUUUUGACUGUACAAAGGUAGCAUAAUCAUUUGUCCCUUAAUUGGGGUCUGGAAUGAAUGGUUGGAUGAAAGACUGACUUUCUUUGUUUUAAAAAUAGAACUUAACUUUUAAGUUAAAAGGCUUAAAUUUAAUUGUAGGACGAGAAGACCCUGUAGAGCUUUAUUCCCUCUAAAACAACAGUUUUUUAGAUAAUAAUUUUCUGUUGUUUUUAGGGGAAUUUUGUUGGGGUGACAGAAAAAAAAUUAUAACUUUUUCUAUUUGUAUCAUUUAUUUAUGAAUUUUUGAUCCUUCUUUGUGGAAAAAAGAUUAAGUUACCUCAGGGAUAACAGCGUUAUUAUUUUGGAGAGUUCCUAUCGAUAAAAUAGUUUGCGACCUCGAUGUUGGAUUAAAAUUAGUUUCAGGAGUAGAAUAUUGAUAACUAGGUCUGUUCGACCUUUAAAUUUUUACAUGAUCUGAGUUCAAACCGGAGA
rnacentral:rRNA from 1 species